GGCUCAGGACGAACGCUGGCGGCGUGCUAAUACAUGCAAGUCGAACGCGUCUUGGUUAAAGAUUUUAGGUGCUUGCAUUUAAAUGAUUUAACAUUGAGACGAGUGGCGAACUGGUGAGUAACACGUGGGUAACCUGCCCUUGAAGUAGGGGAUAACACUUGGAAACAGGUGCUAAUACCGUAUAACAACUCAAACCACAUGGUUUGAGUUUGAAAGAUGGCUUCGGCUGUCACUUUAGGAUGGACCCGCGGCGUAUUAGCUUGUUGGUGAGGUAACGGCUCACCAAGGCAAUGAUACGUAGCCGACCUGAGAGGGUAAUCGGCCACAUUGGGACUGAGACACGGCCCAAACUCCUACGGGAGGCAGCAGUAGGGAAUCUUCCACAAUGGACGAAAGUCUGAUGGAGCAACGCCGCGUGAGUGAUGAAGGGUUUCGGCUCGUAAAACUCUGUUGUUGGAGAAGAACAGGUGUGAGAGUAACUGUUCACAUCUUGACGGUAUCCAACCAGAAAGCCACGGCUAACUACGUGCCAGCAGCCGCGGUAAUACGUAGGUGGCAAGCGUUGUCCGGAUUUAUUGGGCGUAAAGCGAGCGCAGGCGGUUUUUUAGGUCUGAUGUGAAAGCCUUCGGCUUAACCGGAGAAGUGCAUCGGAAACCGGGAGACUUGAGUGCAGAAGAGGACAGUGGAACUCCAUGUGUAGCGGUGAAAUGCGUAGAUAUAUGGAAGAACACCAGUGGCGAAGGCGGCUGUCUGGUCUGUAACUGACGCUGAGGCUCGAAAGCAUGGGUAGCGAACAGGAUUAGAUA
rnacentral:rRNA from 1 species